rnacentral:lncRNA from 1 species
UGCUGCUCUUCUCUGGUGCUUUUGCUACCGCCUCCGACACCGUCCUGAAAUUUCCGCUUCCGUCCGCCGCCACAACCACGUCGGGGCUCACCGUCGAAGACUGCAGCAUUCUUCGGUCCCCAGCGGACAACCACUCUGGCCAUUCACUGUUGUCCUCUCUCAACUUCCUGUUGUUUAAGAUAUAAUUAAGUAAAUAACUGAAUACUCUUUAAUUAUAACAAUACUACUUGCACUGUUGAACUUUAAGAUAAUCGGACCACACAAAUUUUAAUACCUGUUAGUAGUGGUACCCUUCAACUUCAUCUCAUUAGCAAUGUCUGUAUCGGUCAUGUUACAAAUCAUAGCUAAAGCAUUACUGCACAUUUUUUCUACGUGCUUUUGACCUUUCAGCAAAGCUUUGCGAACCUUUUUAUCGGCGUCAUCGUGAGAAAAACCGUCAAGGCAAGUCUCUUGGUUAGUAAUUGCGGAACUUAUUAGAGUUUUGAGGUCAUCUGCGUGGUCUUUCAGAGACUUUUUGUUGGGAUACAGCUCGAGGUCGUCUAUGGCCGUGUGGAGUUCGUCGAGAGUCUCGUCUAUUGUCUCAAGGCAAUCGUGCAACGCAACCUUUUCUCGUGGCGUUAAACCUGUAUAAUUAAAUAAUUACUAAAAAUAUCAGUUACACAGUUUAAUAUGGUAUACAGGCGAUGGUAUAAUAUAAUUAAAUACUGUAAUUAAAAGUGUACUUUGUUAGAUAGUUUUAAGUGUUUUCAAAUGAGAUGGUUAUGCAUUUUAAUACUUAAUACCUUUUCUUGUUUUGAUGAGUUUCUCGACCGUAAAGAAGUUGUGUUGAACGGCCUUGCAAGUGAUAUUCAAGGACAAUUCAAUGACGUCUUUUUGGCUAGUUACUUUUUUGGAGAAAUCUGAAACACUUGCAAUUGUAGAGUAACAUAAUUCGGGGUGCAGAGUGUUUUCACACGCAGAUUUAACAAUGGCAUGAGCUGCAGAGGUAAUGGCCUGUAUGUCUGCGUGGUCGUUGGAGUUAUUCGAACGGGAUUUUACUCCG